rnacentral:rRNA from 1 species
GAUGAACGCUGGCGGCGUGCCUAAUACAUGCAAGUCGAGCGAACGGACGAGAAGCUUGCUUCUCUGAUGUUAGCGGCGGACGGGUGAGUAACACGUGGAUAACCUACCUAUAAGACUGGGAUAACUUCGGGAAACCGGAGCUAAUACCGGAUAAUAUUUUGAACCGCAUGGUUCAAAAGUGAAAGACGGUCUUGCUGUCACUUAUAGAUGGAUCCGCGCUGCAUUAGCUAGUUGGUAAGGUAACGGCUUACCAAGGCAACGAUGCAUAGCCGACCUGAGAGGGUGAUCGGCCACACUGGAACUGAGACACGGUCCAGACUCCUACGGGAGGCAGCAGUAGGGAAUCUUCCGCAAUGGGCGAAAGCCUGACGGAGCCACGCCGCGUGAGUGAUGAAGGUCUUCGGAUCGUAAAACUCUGUUAUUAGGGAAGAACAUAUGUGUAAGUAACUGUGCACAUCUUGACGGUACCUAAUCAGAAAGCCACGGCGAACUACG